AGUGGAUGAGAUUUUAAUGAGGGAAAAGUGAGAUGGCAAAGGUCUUCACUUGCUACCAACCUUCUAGCUUCUUUAUUAUUUAUUGAGCACGAGCAUAUAAACAUUGCAUACAUGAGCCACUGAUCAAGUUUGUUGCCUAUAUCUUGUGACUGAUUAGGUGCCAAUGGGACAGGGAGCUGUUGCCCUUGGUUGUGCACUUGGGGUUGCAUACUGUGAGAUGCUUUUGAUACACCUCCUCUUGCCAAUCACCCACAUUAGUAGUCCCUGUCUGGACUGUGGAAUCCAAAGAAGUUGAUGAUGCUUCUGGAAGAGCUCUUUGGGACUGAAAUAACUGCUUCUGCUGAUCAAUAACAUUCUGUGUUUGAAGCAAGGCCCCUGAGGUUUGAAGUCUUUGUUGCAUAUCUCUCUGUAAUGAAUUUGGCUGUGGUUGCAACUGUGUUGACUGUGAUUGAAACUGUGACAUCAGUUGCUACUAUGGUGGCUGUUGUUGUACUCCUCUUCUUUCUGGUCAUUGACAGAAAAUGGCACUGUAGACCCCCAUUUGGGGCUCAUUCCUUUGCAUCUCUGCAGGGUAUGAUUCUUUGCAGGUGGAGGGCUCCCAAGGAGCCACGUGUCGCCUCGCGGUUGGUGGCCAUAGAAACAGAUGGUGGAAUUGAGGAGCAAGUGAGAGUUUGACAUGUGGCAUGGAGAUAUUCUGGCCGUUAGUGAGGAGCGUAUAUUUUCUGUUAGAGGGGAUUUUUGCAGAGGGGGUCGGCUGGCCAGAGGUAGGGUGCUUUUCAGAAGCUGCUGCAGGGUAGUGGUGGUCGGGGAGCGUCUCCUGGAGGUUUAGAGGUUGUAGAGAACUAGGGUCUCCGGGGGGGCUGGAAAAGGAGGAGAGAAGAACAGAGGUGUAAAAGAGGGAAAAGCUAAGAAAAACAGAGAAAAAAGCCAGGGAGGAACAGAGAGAGAUUUUUGGGAGAGGAAGGAUUCGAGAGUGUGUUUUUCCAGGAGAGUGAGAGGUUCCAGCAGGCCAGCUGCAGUUGAGGAGAAGGAAGAAAGCUUAGCUUGAGAGAAAAAGAAGUGAGAGGAGAGUUCAUCUCUUUGGUGGGAGCAGAGGUAGAGAUUUUCUGGGAGGGAGAGCAAGCUUUUAGGAGGUACCUGGGCUGCUGGAGGGUAUCUGGGAGCAGGCCGUUAGAGAGAUUUUUCCGGAGUAGGGUCUUGAGCAGGCCGUGAGGGGAUUGCCAGAGGGAUGGUCGGAGGGAGUUUCCAUAGGUGAGAGGAAAGAAAAGAAUAGAGGAGGUUCAUCUUUUUUAGGGUAUUUUUUUCAUGACUGCAAGAGAAGGAGUUGGACUGUUUUUCACUUAAGGAGUUCAGGUAUGACCACUACAAACGCUUUUGCUUUGGAUUUCUUUGAGUUAUUUUCCUUGUCAUUGUUGAUUUUAAGCGUUGAUAAUUGAGUUUGUUGUAUUUAAGCUCACAUUGCAGUUGCUCUGUUUUAUCCCCUCUUAUACUCUUGUUUUUCCCCUGUAAAUGGUGAGAUUCUUCCUUGGGUUUAAGUUUGAUGUAUGAUAGUUGUAUUGAAGCCUUCCUGUUUGUCCCACCGGUUUUAAGCCCGUUUAUCACUCAUGAUACGUGGCUUGGUCUAAAUACUUCUUUCCCCUCGUCAUUCUUGCUCUGUUUUUAAACAAUUUCAUCAUUCACCCUUCUCUGUCCCCAUGUAACUGGUUGUGGAGUGCCUUGGCCCAUAUAUCAUCACCUGGGAUCCCUUGCAGUGUAAGCCGUGGUUGCAAAAAUCCUUACCUCAAACAGUGUAUCGAAGUAUAUCUCGGACAGUUGGUUGGAGGAAAGUCUUGAAAAGAAAAACAGAGGAGGAGUAUUUUUUAGUGAAGGAGAACGUAUUGGUGCAAGGAAGGAGAAUGUGUUGUAGCUGACUGCCUUGUGAGGAUUCUCUGAACAGAGAAAGAGGUCAUGUGAGUGGAGUCUUGUUGAUCCUAAUGGGAAAGGGAAAUGGCAACGAUCAGGAGGUCUUCGAUCAUGAAAUCAGUCGUUGAAAAUCUCUCCUAGUGCUGUUGUUUUCGCGUACUCUGCCUUACUUUUGAAACUGGUAUUGUCAUGAAGAAAUGUGGCACCGUAAUCUCACAAAUAUGUCAAGAAAUUGGUGUAAAGGUAAGGGUCGAGGAAACCAUAUCUGGAUGUGAUGAGAGAGUGGUACUCGUCAAAGGAACCUGAAAGCUCCUUCACUUGUUUUGAAAGAACGGCAAUAGGUUCUCUGAUUCCUGGUCAUUCUACCUAGCGGUUGUCUCUAUGGCAUCAAUGUUGAUUGUGUUGAUGACAGUCUCUGAACAACUACUUAUGCGGCUAGCAUGUUAAUGAGCUGAUGGAAAGAGAGCAUCCCCAACCGUGGGAGUUUUGUGCCUAAUUGUGCAAUCACAACUCCAUUGCACCAUACCCAUAUCUCUGAACCUCUCCUCAUCUCCACAUAUCCAUCACCCCACAAUCUAUCCCAUGCAAACUCACCACCUUCACGUACCCAUCCCUCACUUAUGCACCCAUGGCUGCCAUUCACAAUCACUAUAUCCAUCACCGGUCAUGCUAAUCACUUCAUGCCCAUUUCAUGCCCACCAAGCUACACAUCUCAUUACCUCCUCUUAUUCAUCCAAUCUGCCACUAAAUGUACCCUUCCCAUCACCCCUUCUUACCAUAUCUCUCACCUCAACCCAUCGAAAUCAUUAAACCCAUCACUCAUCUACUCGUUUCCCUUUCCAUACCCAUUUCACAAAUAAUGCCCACCUCUCUGUACCCAUUGGAUCCAUGCAAAUCCUCCAUACCCAUUCAACCACACCCAUCCAACUCAUUUCAUCUUAUACCCAUUUUCACGCUCCUCAUACUAGCUUCUUCACUGUACACUUCACAGUGUUCCAUCAGCCGCCUCGUCCAACAAAUAUAUCACUGUCAUCCCUUGUCUUGAUGGUUUCACGGAAGAAGUUCCAAGACCCAAAGAGAUGGUGUCAAGGUCCAGGUUUGUCCUCGGUAUCUCUACUGGAGAAAGAAUAAGUCAUUCAUGCAAAGGUCUUCAAGGUGUUGAAGUGACUUGGAGAGCCGAACCUCCAUUGUUUUUAUAUAUGCAGUCAUGGGUGUUUUCAUAUGGCGAAUGAGGGUUUGAUGCAAGCCUUGCAAGCAUUAUAGCCGCCAGAUUGAUAACCCCAAGAUAGUGAUCUCGGUAUUAAGCACGAAGCAUUUGUUCAAUUCUUAAGCGUUUUGCAUGAUGAGUGUGCGCUUUGCCCGGAGAUGAUCAUACCAAUUCCAUGAGAUAUGCUAGAAGAUCAAUCUGUCUUUUCCCCACAGCCACCACAUGGCGACUUCGACGCUGGUCAACAUCCCGGACUGGCAUAAGAUCCUACGAAUUGACUCGGUGGAGUCGCUGCAUGACUCUGACGAAAAACCGGAAUUAGAGAUGGUUCAUGCCACUAGAUCCAGUUUAAGGCCUCAGGUGAUAGCUCAGAAGAUUGCGGUAUUAGCACGUCAACGAGCACAAGAUAAAAACUGGCAGACACUUUUCUCCACUGCUGCCCAAGAUGCUGGUUUCCGUUAUUAUGGUGGCAAGCUUAAUGAUAUCACUACCGUUGUUUCCUAUAUUACCAGUCAUAACAAUGGAUGCUGCUCCUCCAACAGCUCCUGGCUCUGAUUAGACCGUUUGGACUAUGUCUCUUGGCUUUCUGAAGUAGUGGCAAUCCACUAGUAUUGCAAGAAAGCAGCUACAGUAGCAUUCCCAGCUUCACCCUUACACGGCCACCUCCCAUUUCUUUUCUUUUAUUUUCUUUUAACUUCUUUUCUUUUCUUUUAACACCUUUUGCGCGGUCAUCUUUGAUGUACCUCCUUUGAGCCACGCGUCACCUUCCAAGCUCAUUCCUUUCAAUUUCAGAAAUAAUUUCUCUAACCCAGUUUUCAAAUCCUAGCUUUUCAAAUAAUUUUCAUCCUCCAAAUUUUUCAACCUUAGAAUUUUUAGAUAGAGAAAUCUCAUUUUUAAUAAAAUCUUGCUGCCAUUGUUCAUCAUAGCAGCAAUUUUCUUUUUCAUACUUUCUCUAUUUUUAAAAUAUUUUUAAAAUAAGCAAGAGUUAACUCUGUAACUCCAAGUGAUGGGAUUUACAGAAUUAAUUCAUGCAAAAUAAAAAUGGGCUUUGGUGGGGGCCCCACAUACUUGACUUCAGGAUUGAUUAAUUGAUUGAUUUAUUUGUCAUGCAUGACUGGAUUACUCUCUUCCUUGAUAUGCGCUUAAUUAUAUCUGUCCAUUGUUCACUAACCAUGUUUCAUGAUAGCGCAUUCUAGAUUGCCGCCCAGGUACGCAUCUAUUCGUAUUUUGCUCAUUCUUUAUACAUGCUUUGCUUCUCAUAUUAUGCAUGAUCGAUUUGAGUAUUCAUCGAUUUUCUUGUUGACUGCCACGUCAGCUUCAUUCUAUUAGUAGAGACCCGACUUUAGGGACUUAGAGGGGUGCUACGGUCUUUACCGUACCUUCCCGAUAAGUAACCUGACCCCCGAACCCGAUCCGGUUUUCACAGACCCCCUUUUCCAAAAUAAAGAGUCACACUUAGGGUUUUUCUUUCUUAUUUUGUUUACCCUUUAAAAAUAAAACAAAAAUAAGUGGCGACUCCAAGUCAUUUUUGAAUAAAUAAAAUCAAUUUUUUUAAAUAAAAAUCGAGCUCGCCAUCGAGUGGGAAACGCAUUCGAGCGAUCGAAAUGCGAGGUCCACAGGCACCCAAUCAGUAGCCACUGCAGCAGAAGCCUGAACAAAAGCAUCUUCAUCUUGAGAUUGUGCCUCGUGUGAGAUUGCUCCAGUUUUGCUUUCCAUGACCAACUUCAUGUCUUCUUCUGAUAUACCCUCUAAUGGCUGCAAAUCAAUCUUGUUGUAGGCAAUGAUGAAUGGUUUGUUCAAAAACGAAGACUUGAUGCUAUGAAAAAAAAAGAGCUGCCUAUGCAGCAAUGCUGUACCCACAUGAACCUGAGCCAUUUUAUAGUUCAUCAGACAACCGUUCACUUUCUGACGGACUAUUUUCCGAAGAUGACGAUGGAAAGCCAAAACCUCCUCAUUCCUAAUAUGCUGAUAGCUGCUGUGAUGUAAAGGAUGAAUGACUUCCAACUAAGCUUGAACUGUCCCUACUCUUACUAUAUACGAAAUAACUGUAUUCCCUGCAUUUUCUUUCCAUCUCGUUCUUCUAAAUUUGAAUUCCAUACUCCUGGGAUAACUCUACUCAAACCAUGCAACAACUGACAUAAGCUUCCACUUCAUGUGUAGUUUCCACUGAUCCGACCUCAACACUGCUUGUUGUUACCUUCAACUUAGAAUCUGGUACCAGUUAUUUAACAGCUUCUGGAGAUCUUGAGGAAAUUAACUCUGAUGAUUUCUCUAAAUAGAGGGCAUCUUGUUUGAAUCCUUCAGGCAAUUCGCUUUUUCCUUAUCCUCCGCUUUUCAUUACGAGUAUCUUUUGUAUGAUUAGUGAUAUCAACACCAGGUGUUUUGAUUGGUCCAUGGGCAGACCCUUCCCUAAAGCUAUUAGCCUUCAAUUCAGAAGCAUCAACACUGUCAGCAGUAAUGGUAGACACUGGUUCCCUGGUAAAAUCCAAGGCAUCUUCACUGUUACCCCAUGAACCAUGAACAUUAGCAGAGAGUAUCCUCAUAUUGCCACUUCAAAUUGUUGACUCUCCAAGAAAGGUGACUUUCUCAUCAAGUUCAACGAAAUUUUGGAAGCCUUAAUCUUCAGUAUAUUGGGGUUCAACAAGACAUUCCUGUUUGGGUAUUCUUGGCUGAAUAUAAACACCUGAUCUCUUUCUCGUUUUAUCUACAUCAGAAGGAUUCAAUCGAUAAACAAAGGAACUCAAACCAUGUAAACCCUGAGGCAGGACAACAACUAGAGCAGGUUUUCUUACAAGGCUGAUGUCCUUAUGAAUGUAAGAAACACCUUGUACUUUCCAAUUUCUGACUUCCUUUGUGGAGGGAAUGCAAUCGAGAAAGACUUCUUUAAUGAUGAAGAUGAAGUAUCAGUUCUAUACCAUGUUCAGGGUCUUGCAAUAUGGGUUGAAGAAGCUGUUUUCUUUGAAUGGGUAAAUAAAACAGAACCAUGAUCAACCAUAGGCUUUUCAUCUGAUUUUCUGUUACCUCCACGACCCUCUUGAUCUGGAAUUUGCUCAACUGAUAGUUCAAUAUCUAACGUGUAUAGACUUAGAAUAAUGGGCCAGAUUUCAGGAGAGGCUAUAUUGGAGAGCGCGUCAGGCAGAGAUUGCAUCAAUUCAUCAUUGGACCCUGCACUUGACUGACCUUCAACAGAUCCAUGGAUUUCUCCCUCCUGUUUUUGCGAUAGCGACACGCUUCUGAACAACACCAUUAUAAAAUUACAAAUUUUCUCAAUGGUGGAAUCAGGUUCCUUCUCGUGGGUAUUUCUUAAAACAACCCUCGCGCUCCUCAAUCUGCCCUCAAUUUACACACCCUGAAAUGGUAGAAUUCCGAGAAGCCAUAUCUCUAAUCCCCGUAUGAAUCCAUAAAUUUACAUGACUGCCACCAACCAUAACAAGUGCAUAAACAGCCGACAAGCCACUUGGACAUGAUUGCUUAGAAAAAAUCUCUUCUGGGUCUCGUAUUGUGACGACAAUUUUUACAGCAAUGGCUGGAACAGAACCGUUAAUAGAAAACGAAUAGCAACUACCACGAGCUUCCUUUUGUAUAAACCCACAAUCUGGCAUGUAUAGCUAGAAUUUGAAGAAAUUGAUCCCUUUGCUGAAUCUGGCGAUUGCUUGCCCAAACUUUGGAGUCAUCCUCAUAUGAAAAGUUGACGGCCAUGUGACGAGUAGGAAGAAAGGGAAAACAGAUAUGGUAGAGAGUAGAGGAAACGAUCGGAAAACAGACAUAGGAGAUUUAAAAAAAUAAAAAAUAAAAAAAUAAAACCACAUCUCAUGAUUUUUCAAUAUGCUCAGGUUAGUGGGAACAGGCAUGGAGUUAUAUGCUUCCGAAGACAUUAAUGACAUCCAAAAUCAAAACAAAGCAAUCAAGCAAGUAACCAAUCUCAACAAAACAAAUUGUGGCCCUUUCGUCCACACAAAAUCAACAAAACAAUUAAAUAUUCAGGAAUCGAACACGCGGAAAAAUCAAAUAUAGGUAGAAUUCCAAAGCAACAGGGUGCAUACCUGGACAGCCUUGGUUGCGAUUGCUCUUUUUUUUUUCUCGCUUCCUCUGUGCUUCUCUCCAAAAAUCUUCAGAAUCCUCCAAUACGUGCUGCCUCCUUUCUUCCUUUUCUCACCUAUAUAUAUCACCCUUCAAGACCUAAAUUUGUUUCCAAAAAGGAAAAUUCUCCUAUUUCCUUUCUUCUUCUCUUCUUUUUUUAAAUCUUCCAAUCAAAAGCAAUCUUCCCAAUUUCAAAUUCCCCUCCAAAACCUUCCAAAGAGAGUCCCACCUUCCUUAAACUUCAAUGGUAAGUUUCCUUGCAAAAACAUGAAAUUUUUGAAGUUAAAUAAUUGCAUGAAUAGAUAAAUAAGUAAAUAGAUUAAAAAAUGGUAAAAAUAAUAAAUAAAUAAAUAAGUUAAGGAAAAUAAUAUAAAGAGGAAGAUAACCAAUAAAAAGUGAAUGAUAAUCAUAAAAUUAAAACUAAAAACAAAAUAAAUAAAUAAAUAAAAUAAAAUAAAAUAAAAGUAAACCAAUAAACAAAAGCCGAGCCCAAAAGCCAUGUAACCAUGCAAGUCAUACAAGUCACGCUAAAAAUGUCCAAAUGGGCCAAGUGUGCCUAAACGGGCCUAUGAUGAGACUAAGCGGGCCUAGGGUGGUGCCUAAUGGGCCAAGUGUAUCUAAAAGCUAUCCUAAAAAAAAAAAACAAGAAAAGCCUAAGUCUAAGUUAGGGCUGCCAAGGGUCACAAUAAGGGAUCAAAUAAUCCCUCAACCAAAGUCUCCGAGGUGACUCAGAGAAAGGUAAGUGGUAUGAGUAGCCAUGGGCCAUCAAGGAACUACUGAAGCACUGAAAACGAAUUUUAAAGACAUGUGCUAAAGGGACAAAAUUGAGGGUCUACACCAUCAUGUUAUUGCGACCUAGUUCCCUUAUCUGGUGUGAUUGAGGUGCACGACACCCAACCGGGAAAUACGAUCAUAGACCAAAUAAAUUUCAUAUAUAUAUGGAAGAAAUUCCGUCCAUAAAAAGGAAAAAGGGGUGCAACACGAGGACUUCCCAGGAGGUCACCCAUCCUAGUACUACUCUCGCCCAAGCACGCUUAACUGUGGAGUUCUGAUGGGAUCCGGUGCAUUAGUGCUGGUAUGAUCGCACCCAUCAUGUUAUUGCGACCUAGUUCCCUUAUCUGGUGUGAUUGAGGUGCAACUUCUGGUGUGCUUGAUAGAAGGAAAUCUAGGGAAAAGUUUGUUUUGACAGAUGUAUUAUUAUGCGAGUAUCUGGGGAUGUUCGUCCAGAUCGGACGGUGUGCCCCUCUUGAAAUUGACGCCUUCUUUCUAUCCGUACGGUUGGAUUCGCGUUUUGGUGCAUGGAUUGGGGUUUGAUCGUGACCUUAAAGGGUGGAUGGGGGAAGCAUGGAAGCGACAGCUUGCCGGGUGGUUUCUGGGGCCUUCGGGUAGAGUUUUGGGACAGUUUUUUUUUCAAACCGCCGAGUCCUCGACGCGAGGAUCGCAAUGGUGGGCUUCGGAUCAUCCUUUCNNNNNNNNNNNNNNNNNNNNNNNNNNNNNNNNNNNNNNNNNNNNNNNNNNNNNNNNNNNNNNNNNNNNNNNNNNNNNNNNNNNNNNNNNNNNNNNNNNNNUCCUAGUACUACUCUCGCCCAAGCACGCUUAACUGUGGAGUUCUGAUGGGAUCCGGUGCAUUAGUGCUGGUAUGAUCGCACCCAUCAUGUUAUUGCGACCUAGUUCCCUUAUCUGGUGUGAUUGAGGUGCAACUUCUGGUGUGCUUGAUAGAAGGAAAUCUAGGGAAAAGUUUGUUUUGACAGAUGUAUUAUUAUGCGAGUAUCUGGGGAUGUUCGUCCAGAUCGGACGGUGUGCCCCUCUUGAAAUUGACGCCUUCUUUCUAUCCGUACGGUUGGAUUCGCGUUUUGGUGCAUGGAUUGGGGUUUGAUCGUGACCUUAAAGGGUGGAUGGGGGAAGCAUGGAAGCGACAGCUUGCCGGGUGGUUUCUGGGGCCUUCGGGUAGAGUUUUGGGACAGUUUUUUUUUUCAAACCGCGAGUCUCGACGCGAGGAUCGCAAUGGUGGGCUCGGAUCAUCCUUUCGACGAACGGAUGGGGAGACUAGGGAGGAAAGGCGUUUUGGGCCAUAACUUGGGCCUCGGGGCUCGGAAAAGGUUGGCGUCUGUGCCGAUCGUCUUAAAAUGGGGGAAAUUUUCACGUGGGAAAAAACGGGAAAGAUCGGCGACGGUCGAUUUCGACGGCUGAUAUCUAACGAUCGGGGGAUCGGAUGGACGAUCGGCCGGUGCGGAUGGAAAAGGGAGGGGCGAAACCUAUUGGCACGACGAAUGCGGACAUAAAUCAUACAAAUUCCAUCAUAAAAAGGGAGAAGGGGUGCAACACGAGGACUUCCCAGGAGGUCACCCAUCCCAGUACUACUCUCGCCCAAGCACGCUUAACUGCGGAGUUCUGAUGGGAUCCGGUGCAUUAGUGCUGGUAUGAUCGCACCCGUCGUGUUAUUGCUACCUAAUCCCCUUCAGGCGUUCCCUUUCGAUCGAUCCCACCCUCCGCCCUGACAUCCUUCUACCGUUUCCCCCCCCCCCUCAUACGACCCACCUAUCACCCGUCGCACACGCCCCCGCGAACGCCCUCCGAUCCUGAUCGCUAGUCGGUGCACGACUCUCGCCCCCCUUGUGGGUCCCCCCAACUUCCCAACCCCGGACCCCGUUCGGAGUUGCUUCCUCGCCUUUGCACGACACCCAACCGGGAAAUACGAUCAUAGACCAAAUAAAUUCCAUAUAUAUAUGGAAGAAAUUCCGUCCAUAAAAAGGAAAAAGGGGUGCAACACGAGGACUUCCCAGGAGGUCACCCAUCCUAGUACUACUCUCGCCCAAGCACGCUUAGCUGCGGAGUUCUGAUGGGAUCCGUUGCAUUAGUGCUGGUAUGAUCGCACCCGUCAUGUUAUUGCGACCUAGUUCCCUUAUCUGGUGUGAUUGAGGUGCAACUUCUGGUGUGCUUGAUAGAAGGAAAUCUAGGGAAAAGUUUGUUUUGACAGAUGUAUUAUUAUGCGAGUAUCUGGGAAUGUUCGUUCAGAUCGGACGGUGUGCCCCUCUUGAAAUUGACGCCUUCUUUCGAUCCGUACGGUUGGAUUCGCGUUUUGGUGCAUGGAUUGGGGUUUCAUCGUGACUUUAAAGGGUGGAUGGGGGAAGCAUGGAAGCGACAGCUUGCCGGGUGGUUUCUGGGGCCUUCGGGUAGAGUUUUGGGACAGUUUUUUUUUUUCAAACCGCGAGUCUCGACGCGAGGAUCGCAAUGGUGGGCUCGGAUCAUCCUUUCGACGAACGGAUGGGGAGACUAGGGAGCAAAGGCGUUUUGGGCCAUAACUUGGGCCUCGGGGCUCGGAAAAGGUUGGCGUCUGUGCCGAUCGUCUUAAAAUGGGGGAAAUUUUCACGUGGGAAAAAAAGGGAAAGAUCGGCGACGGUCGAUUUCGACGGCUGAUAUCUAACGAUCGGGGGAUCGGAUCGACGAUCGGCCGGUGCGGAUGGAAAAGGGAGGGGCGAAACCUAUUGGCACGACGAAUGCGGACAUGAAUCAUACAAAUUCCGUCAUAAAAAGGGAGAAGGGGUGCAACACGAGGACUUCCCAGGAGGUCACCCAUCCCAGUACUACUCUCGCCCAAGCACGCUUAACUGCGGAGUUCUGAUGGGAUCCGGUGCAUUAGUGCUGGUAUGAUCGCACCCGUCGUGUUAUUGCGACCUAAUCCCCUUCAGGCGUUCCCUUUCGAUCGAUCCCACCCUUCGCCCUGACAUCCUUCUACCUUUUCCCGCCCCUCAUACGACCCACCUAUCACCCGUCGCACACGCCCCCGCGAACGCCCUCCGAUCCUGAUCGCUAGUCGGUGCACGACUCUCGCCCCCCUUGUGGGUCCCCCCAACUUCCCAACCCCGGACCCCGUUCGGAGUUGCUUCCUCGCCUUUGCACGACACCCAACCGGGAAAUACGAUCAUAGACCAAAUAAAUUCCAUAUAUAUAUGGAAGAAAUUCCGUCCAUAAAAAGGAAAAAGGGGUGCAACACGAGGACUUCCCAGGAGGUCACCCAUCCUAGUACUACUCUCGCCCAAGCACGCUUAACUGCGGAGUUCUGAUGGGAUCCGGUGCAUUAGUGCUGGUAUGAUCGCACCCAUCAUGUUAUUGCGACCUAGUUCCCUUAUCUGGUGUGAUUGAGGUGCAACUUCUGGUGUGCUUGAUAGAAGGAAAUCUAGGGAAAAGUUUGUUUUGACAGAUGUAUUAUUAUGCGAGUAUCUGGGGAUGUUCGUCCAGAUCGGACGGUGUGCCCCUCUUGAAAUUGACGCCUUCUUUCGAUCCGUACGGUUGGAUUCGCGUUUUGGUGCAUGGAUUGGGGUUUGAUCGUGACUUUAAAGGGUGGAUGGGGGAAGCAUGGAAGCGACAGCUUGCCGGGUGGUUUCUGGGGCCUUCGGGUAGAGUUUUGGGACAGUUUUUUUUUUCAAACCGCGAGUCUCGACGCGAGGAUCGCAAUGGUGGGCUCGGAUCAUCCUUUCGACGAACGGAUGGGGAGACUAGGGAGGAAAGGCGUUUUGGGCCAUAACUUGGGCCUCGGGGCUCGGAAAAGGUUGGCGUCUGUGCCGAUCGUCUUAAAAUGGGGGUAAUUUUCACGUGGGAAAAAAACGGGAAAGAUCGGCGACGGUCGAUUUCGACGGCUGAUAUCUAACGAUCGGGGGAUCGGAUCGACGAUCGGCCGGUGCGGAUGGAAAAGGGAGGGGCGAAACCUAUUGGCACGACGAAUGCGGACAUGAAUCAUACAAAUUCCGUCAUAAAAAGGGAGAAGGGGUGCAACACGAGGACUUCCCAGGAGGUCACCCAUCCCAGUACUACUCUCGCCCAAGCACGCUUAACUGCGGAGUUCUGAUGGGAUCCGGUGCAUUAGUGCUGGUAUGAUCGCACCCGUCGUGUUAUUGCGACCUAAUCCCCUUCAGGCGUUCCCUUUCGAUCGAUCCCACCCUUCGCCCUGACAUCCUUCUACCUUUUCCCGCCCCUCAUACGACCCACCUAUCACCCGUCGCACACGCCCCCGCGAACGCCCUCCGAUCCUGAUCGCUAGUCGGUGCACGACUCUCGCCCCCCUUGUGGGUCCCCCCAACUUCCCAACCCCGGACCCCGUUCGGAGUUGCUUCCUCGCCUUUGCACGACACCCAACCGGGAAAUACGAUCAUAGACCAAAUAAAUUCCAUAUAUAUAUGGAAGAAAUUCCGUCCAUAAAAAGGAAAAAGGGGUGCAACACGAGGACUUCCCAGGAGGUCACCCAUCCUAGUACUACUCUCGCCCAAGCACGCUUAACUGCGGAGUUCUGAUGGGAUCCGGUGCAUUAGUGCUGGUAUGAUCGCACCCAUCAUGUUAUUGCGACCUAGUUCCCUUAUCUGGUGUGAUUGAGGUGCAACUUCUGGUGUGCUUGAUAGAAGGAAAUCUAGGGAAAAGUUUGUUUUGACAGAUGUAUUAUUAUGCGAGUAUCUGGGGAUGUUCGUCCAGAUCGGACGGUGUGCCCCUCUUGAAAUUGACGCCUUCUUUCGAUCCGUACGGUUGGAUUCGCGUUUUGGUGCAUGGAUUGGGGUUUGAUCGUGACUUUAAAGGGUGGAUGGGGGAAGCAUGGAAGCGACAGCUUGCCGGGUGGUUUCUGGGGCCUUCGGGUAGAGUUUUGGGACAGUUUUUUUUUUCAAACCGCGAGUCUCGACGCGAGGAUCGCAAUGGUGGGCUCGGAUCAUCCUUUCGACGAACGGAUGGGGAGACUAGGGAGGAAAGGCGUUUUGGGCCAUAACUUGGGCCUCGGGGCUCGGAAAAGGUUGGCGUCUGUGCCGAUCGUCUUAAAAUGGGGGUAAUUUUCACGUGGGAAAAAAACGGGAAAGAUCGGCGACGGUCGAUUUCGACGGCUGAUAUCUAACGAUCGGGGGAUCGGAUCGACGAUCGGCCGGUGCGGAUGGAAAAGGGAGGGGCGAAACCUAUUGGCACGACAAGUGGCAAGCCGCUUGGAGUAUUUCCAAAUUGAUCAGACGGUGGAUUCCUUAGGAACCCUGGGUGCUUUGGUCAAAUUUUAUUUGUUUUUUUGAGGAUAUCUUUUUAGUGGGUAGUAACUGUGUGUCAAGUGAAGUUGGGGGAAGGAUGCUAUGGUCUUGACGAAGGUACUAAUGUUUACGGUUUCCUAUUCUGUGGUCGGGAAGGUUGAAAGCGCAUUUAGAAGAAGGAUUUAUGCUGCCCACUAUGUAGUGUUUAGGGAACCGUUAGGUAAGUGUCUAAGAGAUAUGUGGUUUUUGAAAAAUAAAAAUAAAAAUCAUAGACUGCAUCGAAAUCUUGGAUAUGGAGAUCUCCUAAAUUGAACCAAUCGACUUGAAGGUGGCUCACUUUGCUCUUAUGUAAGGGUACAAUGUUCAUAUAGUGUCACUUAUGCUCUUUCUCGUAGAUUGAUCCUCUAUUGAAUUUUAAUUGCAUUUAAAAUAACUAACUACUAAUUGCGUUCAUAAUUACCUUUCAACUACUACUACCUAAUAAUUACCUUCAAAAUAAGGCUGUUUUUGUAAUUAAUGAAAAUAAAUGGGGUAUUUUAGUAAUUACUCAUAAUUAUAUGAUUUUUUUCAAUUACUCAUAAUUCAAGGGGUAAUUGUGCAAUUAAUCUUAAUUUGUAAGGGUAUUUUCAUGAAAUAUUCAUAACUUCAAGGCAUGUUUAUGAAAUUACUCUUAAUUUUAGGGGUAUUUGUGCAAUCACUCAUAAUUGCUAGGGUUUUCUUCUAACUAUUCAUAAAUUCAAGAUUAUUCGUGCAAUUACUCAUAAUUUCAUUGGUAUUUGAUAAUUACUCAUAAUUAUAAGGUAUUUUGGUAAUUACUUAAUAUUUUAAAGGUAUUUUGAUAAUUAUUCAAAACUUCCGAGGUAUUUGGGCAAUUACUCAAGAUUUUGUGGGUACGACUAGCCUAUGAGUUUAGAAAAAAAUGUUCCGAUUUUUUUUUUUUUUUUUACAAUAGAUUGGUGCUUAAUUUUUCCUCUUAGAUUAGUGUGAACAAUGUUUUAUCCAAUGUUGUCCAUCUAUCCAUUAUAUGCAUUGCUAUUGAUUUGAGCAUUUAGACCCAUAUCACUUGUAUUGUACAUGACUUGGGUGCAUUAGGAGUUGCACAAAAGAUACAAGUCAUGGGUUCCUUGCAAAAUAAUAAGUAGUUCAUAGUUAAUUCAUGGAUUUGGGCAAUCUAGUAUACUAUAGUGCAUUACAUCUUAACUGGAGGAUGAAUUGUCGUGGCCUUUGGGAUGGGGUUUUCCAUGGUGAGUGUACUAGUGUGUACGGUUACACAUUGGAUACGACUUAUGGUGAGUCAUGACAUAAGGCUAUUAGGUAGUCAUAAAUUCACCAAGUUGUUAUGUUGUAUUAUCUCUCAACCUUGAGAGAAUAGUGAACUUAUGCUAAAGUUAGUAGUGACUUUGACCUAUGGGUUAGAUCCUAAAGUGAUUAUACAUUUCUUAUGGAUUAGGUCAUUGUUGAUGGAAACCAAUAACAACAGGUAUUCUCAAUAGAGGUAAUGAUAUCUCAUGGACUUUGAGAUAAGGUGUCCCAUUGGGUGAUUGUAAGGACAUGUGAUCAGGAAAUCUAUGGUCAUCGUAAUUCCUUAAGUGGAAUUUGACAUGCACUCUUCUAAGUUAGGAUAUCCCAAUUGAUCACAUAAUAAGAGGAUCUGUAAGAGGCUAAUAGCUUUAACCUAUUUAGAUUACGAACAUCAUUUCAUAGAGAGACUAUAUAUAGUGGAUAGUAGGUCAUUGACCCGAGUUCUUGUAUCUUGUUGUAAUAUACAUAGGGUAUUAGAGUGUAGUUAACUCUCUAUAGUAAGAUGUUGAGUCAACUUCAAAAUUAGAUUAUGAGGGAGCAAGUAUUUUCCUAUAGGUCCUAAUGGUCUUAACUUGACCUCAUAUUCCUUGAUGUCACGGUUUAUGAGAGUGUAUAGGUUUUUAUUUCAUUUGUGUGCUAAUUAAUAAAUUAGGAACCCUUUUAGGCUAGAUUAAGUAACCCAAGCCCAAGAUGGGCUCACGUUAGUUAAGCCCAUGGGAAGCUUAUGAGUACCUCUCUUGGGAUUUAGGACUUUAAUCUUGCUUCAUGUCCACUUAAAGAGAGAGAAACAUAGUCUCCACCCUCUAUGAGAUCUCCACUAUCUUAGUUUUUUGAUUUAAGGAUGAGCCAUUGGUCAAAAGAUCUCUAGGUCUUUGAGGUCAUCUUCAAUAGUUGUAACUUAAGGUUUGGGAACAUCCAAACCUAAAUGUUAGUAUUUUAAUCAUAAAGAAUCAAUUUUGAAAAUUGGUAUUUAUGGACUCACAUUUUUCACGUGUGUCCCACUCGAUGGUGAGACUCGUUUUUUAGUGAAAAACUUAUUUUGUAAAAAUUAAAGUCACCACCUAUUUUUAUUUUUGAAGGGAAAAUAAAAUAAGAAGCAAAAACCUUAAAAAAAAUUCCUUAUUUGGAAAAGCAUAGUUUGAGAAAAACCGAGUCUAGGUCUGGAGGUUAGGCUACCUAUCAGGAAGUUAUCAUAAGGUAGUACCUCUUUAAGUCCUAAAAAAAGGUCUCUACUAAUGAGUUGAUGUAACUAUGAUAAUUGGUUUUUAAUUUAAUAGAUAUCGAAGAAUCAAAGUAAAUAAACUAAAGUAAGGAUGAUAAUCAAAUGAAAACAAAUCAAGAGAAUAAUCACACAAGGCAUACAUAUAAAUGAGAACAAACAACUAGGAAGAGAAAGAAAUGUAUCUUAUUAGCAAGCUAAGCACUUCCAUAAAAUAACAAGAAUUAGUAAACAUAUCAUAUCACAAGUCCAAUAACAUACAAUAUGCACCCCACUUAAAUCAAGAAUCAAAGAAUAAUAAUAUGGAAACCAUGCAAAGUAAGAUGGAACAAACAUGAGAAUAUUUAAAAGCAAGGUAAACACAUCAAUGUAUACAAGUGGAUAGAGAAGAGAAAAACCAUACCUUGAUUACAUAAAGUACUUUGAUAAAAUAAUGAGGUUAGUUCAACAAGCAAUAAUGGAUACAAAAGAAGAAGCAAAAGAAAAAAAUCAAGCUUCAAGAAAGGUAAUAAUUAAUAUACUCUCAAAAUGAAUUCGAAUAAAAUAUCAAAAAAAGAAAAAAAAUGACAUAAAAGAAGAUUCAUUUAUCAUAUACGAUAUACCUACAAUGUGAGUUAAGAAUGAAAGUGUUGAGAUUAGGCCCUUAAAAGCAAGACAUGAUGUAACAAAGUUAGAGUUAAUUGUCCCCUUUCUAUCCUUUUGGUGUAUUGACAUUGAUUUGAGCAUUCAACCUAUGUCUCUUACAUUGUACAUGACUUCAGUGCAUUAGGAGCUGCAUAGAAGAUACAAGUUAUGGGUUCCUUGUAAAUAGAUAAGUUGUCCACAAUUAGUUCAUAGAUUUGGGCAAUCCAAUAAAGAUUGUAGUACCCCACCUUUUAUUUGGAGGGAUGGUUUUUCUUGGCUGUUGGGAUAGGUUUCCCAUGAUGAGUACACUAGUGCAUGUAAUGCAUACUAGACAUGACCUAUAGUGAAUCAUGACGUAAGACUAUCAAUUGUCAUGAUUCACUAAGCUACUAUACUGCAUGGACUCUCAACCUUGAGAGGAUAUUGAGUUCGUGCCAAAAUCAAUAAGAGGCUUUGACCUAUGGGUGGGACCCUAAAGUGGUUAUAUAUUCCUAUGGAUUGGGCCACUAUUGAUGGAGGUUGGUGGGAAUAGGUGAAAAACCACUGAAAGUCCCCCCCCCCCAAAGAGAAGGAGAAAGAGAAAACCUUUCUAUUUGGACAGUUCAAUGAUAAAGAAUAAGAGAAUAAUUCUUUUAGCACAAAAGUCCCGGUUUAAAAGUUAAAUAACAGAUUUAUAAAAUUUCAUGAGAGAGAAUUUAUGAUGAUAAUAAGGGUUAUCAAAAUAACUUUGGAAUGUUUUAGUAAUUUAAUGAAGAUAUAAAAUAUUUUGAAAAUACUUUCCGUAGUGGAUUGUUUAAUUCAUUUUCAGAAAUAAGAUUUUUUUGGAGUUUUUCAUAAAGAAUAUUUUAUCCAUUAAGGAAUUACUAAAAGGUUCUAUUUUUGGUAGUAUUUAAUGGAAUAAAUAAUUAUGAAAUUGCCAUGAAAAUAUUUAUUAAGUUUGAAAAGUGUAAAGAAUAAGGAAAGUAAAUCUUAUGAGGUUUUUUGGAAUAUGAAAAGUAAAAGUUCCUUUCUUGGAUAAGGUGCUCUCAAGAUUAUUCAAAAUCUCAUAAAUUGAUAAUUUCCCUAUUACACAAGAGUUUCAAAUUUGGAAAAUAAAUAUUUUGAAAAUUUUCAUUAAAGAUAAUUUAUCAUUAAAAGACUAUUACCAAAAGGCUAAGAUAUUCUUUGAAACAUUUCCUUAAUAAAAUAUUUAUUAAUUGGAAUUGUGUAUAAAAGGAGAAUUUUAUGAAAAUAGAUUUUAAAAUUUUGAGAGUGGAUAUUUUAUCAAAAUUCUUUUUGAAAAUUACUCUCUUGGAAAUUUUAAAAUUUUUCACGUUCAUAUUCUCUUACUACACUAGAUAUCCAAUUAGGAAAUAAAUAUUUUUGGUAAUUCUCAAAGUAGAUAAUUUAUUCAUCAAAGAAAUUACUAAUGGUUUUAAAAUGCUCUUAUUUAUCUCAGAAGACUAAGUGGGAGAGGGCCUUAGGCAAGCCCACGACCUCCAUUGUCAAACCCAUUUUGAUUUGAGUUCAUCCCCACCCCACCAGUGGGUUGGGCCCUAGGAAUCAAGGGAUAUGGACUCUCCACUUGGAAGAGACUAGAUAUGCUGAUAAUGUAAGCAACCAACCCACUGAUGGGGUUCCUUACUUAGUGACAUUGAUAGUUCGAGGACAAUGGUUAUCACUUAACAUUGGAUAUGAAGUGGUCAAAUUGCCCACCGCGGUCCCACUUGCAUAGUCCAUGGGCGAAAUAAAAGGUAUGUUGAUCUUGUCUUUAGAUAGCUUUCAUGGUUAAGGUAGGGAGAUCAAUUUGAGAGGGUCUCUAACUAGUAAUAAGGUCAUAACCUGCCCACCAUAGGCUUCAUUCUUAUGAUACUAGGAUACCUUGCAAAGGGAUAAAUAUUUUGAGAGCACUACAUUUUUGCUAAAUUAAUUACCAAAUGCCUUUAAUGCUCAAUUAUGUCAUAUGCUUGGUUAUAUUCUUUAUUACGUAUAUGAUUUUGGUUUUAUUAUCACUCUCUUUCUCAUAAUAAACCACGCCCAACUAAUCAAGUAGACUAAUUUUAUUAUGGUUAUAGUAGCUAAUUUCAUAGAAGUUGGUUUAGGAAGAGCUAACUAUUCCUUAUGAACUAACCUAUCAAAAGGAAAGAGUGGUAUAUUAAGGUGAUAUUAGAUAGGUUAGAAGACAAAGUUCCUAAUACUUGGAUCUUUGGACAAUGUGUUGCAAUAACAACAUAUGUCUAUUACUAGAGACUUUGAUAUUCUCUUUCUAGCUUACAAUGGUUAUUUAGUGAUAAGGGUAGGAGAACUUUGACAAGCUACUAUUAGGAUUGUUAUGAACAUCAAUAUUCAUAUGAUCUUAGAGACCUUACUAUUUUCCUUUGGGAUGGCCAAGGGGAUUCUCAAAGAUCAUAGGGCAUUCGUAUGGAAGUAAAAAGUUCUUUAGGUUCUUCUACCAAGAAGAAGAAGAAUAACACUAAAUAAGGAAAGUUCAAGAGAAGGAAUAAGAGAGCAAGUUUAGGGGCAAGUGAUUCCUUUGUAACCUUUUAAGACACUAGAAAAUGAAUGCCCGAUUUACUUAAAAAAAGAAGAAAGUAUAUAUCAUUUUCUUAUUGUUAAAUAUUUAGUGGUAGAUUUCACCAUUUAUGGUGGUUAGAUUCCAAACCCAUCGUCUAUAAGUCCUUGCAGGAUAUUCAAAAAAUGAGAAGGUUAAAUGAUGGGAUUAUUCUUACCUUAGCUUCAAAUGUAAGGUUAGUGGGAGGUAAUAUCUUCUUUUAUAUGUAUUCCAUUAUCACUUUGCCAAGUAAUGAGAAUAGUCAGAUCUUAGGAUUAAACUUAGCACUGAUUAAACAUUUGGUUUCUAGACCUAGGUCAUAUUAAUUUAUAUAAGAUCCAAAGACUGGUAAAGUCUAGACUCAUUGAUUCUAGACGAUCUUCUAGUUUGCAAAUCUUAUAUAGAUGGUAAAAUGACUAAGAGGACUAGAGCCAAGAAAUAUUUGGAAUUAGCGCAUACUGUCAUGUAUGGAACUUUUAGUGUCCAUGCAUGGGAAGGGUAUGGGUAUUUCAUCACUUUUAGUGAUGAUUACUCUAGGUUUGGAUAUGUACAUAGGAAAUUCGAUGCCUUGGAUACAUUCAUUGAAUUUAAGGCGAGAUUGGGUAAACUAUUGUGUAUACAUACCAAGUCACUUCAAUUAGAUCAAGGUGAUAUGUCUAGUAAGUUUGAUUCUUUUCAUUGGAGAAUAAGAUUAUUUCCCAAUUAUGUGCACCAGGGUCUCCAUUUCAAAAUGGAGAGAUUGAAAGAAGAUAUCUAACUUGGAUGGAUAUAGUAAGAUCGUGGAUAGGUUUCUCAUCUUAUCUCAGAUUAUUUCGGGGAUAUGUCUUAUAGACUAUUUAAUACCUCUUUUUCUUAAGAGGUAUAUCAAUUUAUAGGAUAUCUAAGAGGAUUUUUGGGUUAUUACCUUUAUAGUUAAGAUCAUCAAAAGAUAUCUGUUGACACAAAUGUUAGAUUUUUUUUAUGAAGACUAUAUAUAAGGAGUAAGGCAAAGAGUGAUACAAAUUAGAGUAUAUAUUAUAAUAUAGUCCCAUAUUCAUAGGAUACAAUGAAUUUAAAGGGUUAAGGACAUACCAUUCCUAUGGUUUCUAGUACACCAGUGCCACAUCAUAGUGAGAGGUUUAUAUCCCAUAAAUUAUGAUGAAGCGGUGAGUAGUGUUUGUGCUCUCUUAAAGCAAAAAGAUAUGAAAAGGUAGUUAGAAUCUUUGUAUUCUAAUGUGGUUUAGGUCCCUAUAGAAGCACUUGAUGGAAUAAAACCCAUAGGUGUAAACGUCUAUAAGAAGGACAAAGAAGUAGAUGGAGAGCUUGAGUUUUAUGUAAUUAAGACUGUAGCUAAAGGUUAUAGUUUGAAACUUUGUUUCAACUAUGGAAAACCUUUUCAACAGUAGCCAUAUUCAUAUCCAUCAUACUACUCCUAUCUAUUGCAAUGUAUCUCAUUUAUAAGAUACAAAAACCAAACCUUUUCAUAGCAAAGGGCUAUGUGUGUAUAAAAAGGCAUAGGGAAGCAUGGUGAUACUCUAAGAUCUUGCAAGAAGAUGACAAUCUACUUACUAGAUAUGAUGUAUGGAUAUUUUCAUUAGUCAAAAUAUGGUAGUCUACUCAAUUCUAGAUGAAAAUCUAAAAGAAGGCCCAAUAUAUUCUUUAGGUUAAGGUCCUUUAGGACUACAAGAAUAAGAAAAUUGUGUCAUGUCACCUACAUCAACGAACACUUAGUCAAUCACAUGUUUCAAAACUCCAAGAAGGGUUUGUUACCCUUUGGGUUUAGGGUUGUCUUUCUCAGGAUUAAUGUCCUUGGACAUCCAAGGAGACAGAUCGCAUUAAGGUGGUAUCCUAUGCCUUUGCGAUGGAUAGUCUUAAGUAUGCGAUUCUAUGUGCUAGACUAGAAAUUUGAUUUUUUGUAGGAAUAAUGAGUGGAUAUUAGUCCAUUUCCUUAUUAAAGCUUUGGGUGGAUGUCAGACAUAUACUCUAGAUUGGGUUGUACAUCCCAUAAGGGGUGUUGUAAAAAAUAUUUUCUUUUCAAUAGUUGGGUUGUAAGCUCCUUUAUAGGAGCAUAAUUGCAAAAAAUUCAGUUUCUUAUAUCCAUCUAUGGUGACCCAAGAGAAAAGAAAGAGUCUUGAAGUUUCUUUUUGAGAUUCUAUGAUGAUCCAAGAGAAAAAGAAGGUUUCUUGGAAGUUCUUAUUUUGAGAUCCAUGUUAGUAUAAUGAUGUAAAAUUUGAGUCAAAAUAAGGGAUACUUAUAGUGAGUUUCUUGGGAAAAACCACCUAUAUUUUUGAAUCUUAUGAAGUUAGGAAUCCAAUGCUUCAAACGGAUCGCAAUUCGGAGUUGAAACGAGGGAGAUAUGGUCAAUUGAAGCAAGGCUGCACAAAAUGCAUGGCAACAUAGUGAUGUCAAUUUUGAGCCAAAAUUAGGGUUAUUUCUAGUGAGUUUAUUUAGUCAAGUUACAUAUGGUUUUGAAGCUUAAGAAGUUAUGAAUCCAAUUCUUCAAAUGAAUUGCAAUUUGGAGUUGAAACGAGAGAGAUAUGACUAAUUGAAGUAAUGUUGCACAAAAAGCAUGUUGUUAUAGAAUUACAUAUGGGUCCAAUUACUUUUGGUUGUUUAGGCUCAUUUUUUAGCCUCUUCUUAGGUUCUUUUUGGUGGAAAUUGGGUCUUUUGGGGGUUUUUCAAUUUUCCUAAAUCUAAUCUUUGGUUGCAGAGCUAUUUUGGUAAUUUGGAUUCAGUCCAUUUUUAAUUACCAAAUAUGCAAUAAGACUCCUAAAGACCAUGGGAAAUAUUCAUUUUUAAUUAUUCUUGUGUUUUUAUUAUGUGCUAUCUUGGUUAAUUACACAUGUGGCCUCAAUAUAUUUUGGUAUUCUUAAUUAGAAAUAAAUUUUCAUGCAUUUUUCAAAAUUGGAAAAGUUGUUUAAAUUGGAGUGUGCAUGGUUAGCAAAUUUUAUUUUAAGAAAAGAUAAGUUGGAAAAUGAUUAAGAGUUUUCUUUCCUUUUUAAAAUUAAUUCUUAGAGAUUUUAAUUUUAUUUAAAAUCUUCCCAAAUCUUUAAGAUAUCUAAGAACAAAAUCUUUCUUUUAAAGAAAAGCUCUUAUUUUUCUAGAUAUUUAUAAAAUAACAUUUUUCCUAUUUUGCAUAAGAUUCCAUUUUAAAGAAAAUAAGUUAAUUUUGGAAAUUCAUGAUAGAUAAUUUAUAAUUAAUAAAGUUACCAAAAUAAGUGUUAAAACCUAACGAAAAGUAUUUUGGUAUUCUUGGAAAAUUUUUAUGAGAAGAUUUUUCCAAGAUUAUUUAUUUAAACUAGUUAUUGUUAACAAGAAUGCUAUUCAUUUGGGAACUGUCCAUUUGGUUUUAGGAUUGGUGGUUCUCUAGGCUCUCAUCCUCCUCAUCUCCCCACCCCCAAAACCAAUCCACUCCCCCCUUUCUCUAAUAGAGAAGGAGGAAAUUGUUCCAUUUAGAUAUUGAUAGUUCAAGGGUAAGGAAUAAGAGAGCAAUUCUUUUAGCAUAAAAGUUUCGUUUUAAAAGAUAAAUAAUAGAUUUGAAAAAUCUCAUGAUAGAUAAUUUAUAAUAAGAAGGGUUACUAAAAUAAAUUUGGAAAGUUUUAAUAAUUUAAUAGAGGUAUAAAAUAUUUUGAAAAUACUUUCCAAAAUGGAUUAUUUAAUUCCCUUUUGGAAAUAACUUUUUUUUUGGAGUUCUUCAUAGAGAAUAUUUUAUCCAUUAAGGAAUAACUAAAAGAUUUUGUUUUUGGUAAUAUUUAAUAGAAUAAAUUACUAUGAAGUUUCCAUGGAAAUGUUUAUUAAGUUGAAAAGGUGUAAGGAAUGAGGAAAGUAAAUCUUAUAAACACUUCUGAAUAUAGGAAGCAAAAGUUCCUUUUCUGGAUAAGGUGCUCUUCAGAUUAUUCAAAAUCUCAUAAAUUGGUAAUUUUCUUAUUACAAUAUAGUUUCUAAUUUGGAAAAUAAAUAUUUUAAAAUUUUUCAUUAUAGAUAAUUUAUUAUUUAAAGAUUAUUACCAAAAGGCUUAGUAAUAUAAUGGAAAUAAUUUUCUUUGAAAUAUUUCUUACAUAAAAUAUUUUUAAUUGGAUUUGUGUAAGAGAAUGAGAAUUCAUUCUCCUAUUACACUAGGUUUUUAAUUAAGAAAUAAAUAUUUUUGGAAAUUCUCAAAGUAGAUAAUUUAUUCAUCAAGGAAAUUACUAAUGAUUUUAAAAUGUUCUUAUUUAUCUCAAAAUAUUAAGUGGGAGAGGGCCUUAGGCAAGCCCAUGGCCUCCAUUUUCGAGUCCAUCUUGAUUUGGGUUCAUCACCACCCUCACGGUAAGUUAGCCCUAAAAAUAAGGAGAUAAGGACUCUCCACAUGAACAAGACUAGAUAUAUCUAUAGUGGGAGCGACCACCCCCACGUCGUGGUUCUUUACUUAGUGACAUUGAUAGUUCAAGGACAAUGGUUAUACACUUGACCUUGGAUAUGAAGUGGUAGAAUCACCCCACGCGGUCCCACUUGCAUAGUCCAUGGGCCAAAUAAAAGGUAUGUUGAUUUUGCCUCUAAAUACUUUUAUGGUUAAGGCAGGAAGAUCAAUUUGAGAUAGUCUCUAACUAGUAAUAGGUAAUGACCUACCCCAUGUAGGUUUGAUUCUUAUAAUACUAAGAUACCUUGCAAAAGGACAUGUAGUUUGAGAGCACUACAUUUUUGCUAAAUUAAUUACCAAUUGUCUUUAAUGCUCAAUUAUGUCAUAUGCUUGGUUAUAUUCUUUGUUAUAGAUAUUAUGUUAGUUAUUUAUAAUCACUCUCUUUCUCACUUUGGACCAAGCCCAACUAAUCAUUUGGACUUAAUUUUAUAUUGGAUAUAGUAACUAAUUGCAUAAAAUCUAGUUUAGGAAGAGCUAGCCUAGCAAAAGGAAAGAGUGGUAUAUCAAGGUGGUAUUAGAUAGAUUAGAAGGUCAAGUGUCUAAUGCUUGGAUCAUUGGAUAAUAUAUUGCAACAACAACAUAUGUCUAUUACUAGAGACUUGGAUAUUCUCUUUCUAGUUUGCAAUGGUUAUUUGGUGAUAAGGGUAGGUCAACUUUGACAAGCUACUCUUAGCACUGUUAUGAACACUAGUAUUCAUAUGAUCUUAGAGACCUUACCAUUUUCCUUUGAAAUAACUAAGAGGAUUCUCAAAGAUUAUAGGGUGUUCAUAUACAAGUCAAAGGGUUUUCAGGUUCUUCUACUAAAAAGAAGAACAAUAACACCAAAUAAGGAAAGUUUAAGAGAAGGAAUAAGAGAGUAAGCUCAAGGGCA
rnacentral:lncRNA from 1 species